GAUGAACGCUGGCGGCGUGCUUAACACAUGCAAGUCGAACGAUGAAGCUCAGCUUGCUGGGUGGAUUAGUGGCGAACGGGUGAGUAACACGUGAGUAACCUGCCCUUAACUCUGGGAUAAGCCUGGGAAACUAGGUCUAAUACCGGAUAGGAGCGCCUACCGCAUGGUGGGUGUUGGAAAGAUUUAUCGGUUUUGGAUGGACUCGUGGCCUAUCAGCUUGUUGGUGAGGUAAUGGCUCACCAAGGCGACGACGGGUAGCCGGCCUGAGAGGGUGACCGGCCACACUGGGACUGAGACACGGCCCAGACUCCUACGGGAGGCAGCAGUGGGGAAUAUUGCACAAUGGGCGAAAGCCUGAUGCAGCGACGCCGCGUGAGGGAUGACGGCCUUCGGGUUGUAAACCUCUUUCAGUAGGGAAGAAGCGAAAGUGACGGUACCUGCAGAAGAAGCACCGGCUAACUACGUG
rnacentral:rRNA from 1 species